rnacentral:rRNA from 1 species
UACGUAGGGGGCAAGCGUUGUCCGGAAUUAUUGGGCGUAAAGAGCGCGUAGGCGGUCCGAUAAGUCGGCUGUGAAAGUCAGGGGCUCAACCCUUGGAAGCCGGCCGAUACUGUCGGACUAGAGUCCGGAAGAGGCGAGUGGAAUUCCCGGUGUAGCGGUGAAAUGCGCAGAUAUCGGGAGGAACACCAAUGGCGAAGGCAGCUCGCUGGGACGGUACUGACGCUGAGGCGCGAAAGCGUGGGGAGCAUACAGG